rnacentral:lncRNA from 1 species
CCCUAUUUACUCCUUAUUCAGUACUACUUAACCUAUGUACUUGCAUACCAUUACAGACCUCCUUUUAAAAUGAAAUAUAUUCUUUACUAUAAGCAUCAGUUUAUAUAGAGAAGAAUAAGCAAAUCUCUCUUGUUAGCAAAAUUCAGAAAUCUACUUCUAAAGACAAGAAGAAUCUAGAAACCAACAUAUGCCAAGAAGUAACUCUGAAUGAGAAUAGAAAAGUUGACCAGAGAAGAAGAAGCAAGAGAAUUGAAAACAAACAUAGACAAGAAGCCCUUCCUAGGAAUUCUGUUAAUCCUGUUUGCCCUAUUUCACUUUCAACAGUUAAUAGGAGGGAUACUUACGGUAGAGAUGAUUCAAAGAAUAUGUCAAAUACUCAAAGUGUAGAGGAUACAAACCCACACCAGAUGAAGGAGUAUUUGCCGAAGUAAGUGGAACAGAAAGCACUGAAAAAAAUGGGGAAGAGGAAAAUGCGAAGACCAAUGUCCUUUCACAGUUUACUGAAACAGAAGAAGUCCAGGCUAAAAGAGUAAGAUUACACUCUCCAGAGACAAGCCAAAAGGCAGCCUCUUAUUCCAGUAGCAUCAAAACCAGGCUUUCAUCCACAUCACAAUCCAGUCAGGCAUCAGAACAGCAAACACCCAAGAAAUCAGGUGAGAAUUUAAUAAUAUUUUAUAAAAACAGUGGAGUAUUUUCCAGACAUACUCGAAGAAGGCUUUUUGUAAUACAUGAGGGAAAGUUUAGAAAAAUACAUGUAGCAUGUAAAGCAUAUACUGUAGUGAGUUCCAAAUACUUGAAAUAUUUCCAGAACUUCAGUACUGUAUUUUACAGCACAUACUUUGUUUUGUUUAUCGUACAUUCAUCAGUCUUUCAGCAUUGUGGUUAAGGGGAUGCAGGAUCAUAACUGAGAGCUUAAAAUAAUAUUACAUUGAUCUUUAGUUAACUGUGUUACGUCAGUGAUAGUUUAAAAUGACACUGAAUUUAUCCUCAGUUAACUCUUUUACGUACCACAGAUCAAAGAAGAAAACCUGGCUCUCUGUAUAUUUGCUACACAGAUAUCCACUUUUAUUUUAUAGACUAUAUCCUCAUCAGGCACAAAUCAGCAUGGGUCCUGAUUCUGCUGGUACAUUUGCUUUUAGCUGUAAUAUAGAAACAAACCUACUUCUAUGAGAGUAAGGUUCUAGUCUCCUCUGUUAGUUAUAUUAUCUUUUGCCUGUAUGUACUGCUUUCUGUUUAGCAUUUUCAUCCCAUGUCUAUGACUUGCAUUUAUCUUGUAGCCUUGCCAUCACAGUAGAGACUGUCCAGCUGAUAACUCAUUGUAAGCCCCAAGUAUUUUUCAUUUGCUGCUUUUUUGUAAAGCUGGCAGUCAUCUUUUGUACACUGGCUCUUUCUGGAACCAGAGAACCGUAGCACUCAAGACUAACUGAAACCAAAACCUGUUGUUCAGAUGGGAUCCCUGCUCUCUUAAAACUUUUAAAUAUAAUACAUCUGGACAGAUGAUUCAAAAAUGUUUAUCCUCAUAUCAUUUGGCAUCCUUCUUAACUUGUGUUGAAAUGAAAAAAAAAGUCUCAUUAGAUGAUAGGAAUUUCUUGUUUAGCUUUGCCUCGAUAUAGCAUAGAGUAUUUUGACUUCUCUGAUUAUCUUAGAUAAUUUUGUCGUUUCUCUGUAGUAAUCAAGAGUUUGGGAAAUAUUUUUUCUGGUUUUGAUACUAAAAUACUACCUUUUUGGGCCUUAGCUGUCUGUGACUAUUACCUUGUAUUCUUUACUUUUCCACACCAGUUUUCUACAACUCCUUACUUAUAUUUGCUACUGCUUCCCAUUUUUUCAUUUCUCAUUUAUUGUUGCCCUCUAAUUCCCUUCUUAAGCCACUUUAGAUUUUGAAUCCG